rnacentral:rRNA from 1 species
GAAUAUUGGACAAUGGGCGAAAGCCUGAUCCAGCAAUGCCGCGUGAGUGAUGAAGGCCUUAGGGUUGUAAAGCUCUUUUACCCGGGAUGAUAAUGACAGUACCGGGAGAAUAAGCCCCGGCUAACUCCGUGCCAGCAGCCGCGGUAAUACGGAGGGGGCGAGCGGUGUUCGGAAUUACUGGGCGUAAAGCGCACGUAGGCGGCUUUGUAAGUUAGAGGUGAAAGCCCGGAGCUCAACUCCGGAACUGCCUUUAAGACUGCAUCGCUUGAACGUCGGAGAGGUAAGUGGAAUUCCGAGUGUAGAGGUGAAAUUCGUAGAUAUUCGAAAGAACACCAGUGGCGAAGGCGACUUACUGGACGACUGUUGACGUUGAGGUGCGAAAGCGUGGGGAGCAAACAGG